UCUGGUGGCGAUAGCGAAGAGGUCACACCCGUUCCCAUACCGAACACGGCAGUUAAGCUCUUCAGCGCCGAUGGUAGUUGGGGGUUUCCCCCUGUGAGAGUAGGACGUUGCCAGGC
rnacentral:rRNA from 1 species